rnacentral:RNase_P_RNA from 1 species
CGAGCAGAGCAGACAACCGCCGCGGGCCGAAGGGCAUCGUGGAGGAAAGUCCGGGCUCCACAGGGCGGGAUGCCGGGUAACACCCGGUCGGCGUGAGCCGAAGGAAAGUGCCACAGAAAGCAGACAGCCCUCAGGGGUAAUGGUGAAAAGGCAGGGUAAGAGCCUACCGGAUACGGCGUAAGUCGUAUGCCAGGCAAACCCCAUCCGGAGCAAGAUCGAAUAGGAGGGGAUGAAGCGGCCCGCUGACCCUCGGGUCGAUCGCUUGAGGAACGUCGCAAGGCGUUUCCCAGAGAAAUGGUUGUCAUAUACAGAACCCGGCUUAUGAGCUGCUCGUUUU